rnacentral:lncRNA from 1 species
UUUUAUAUGUAUUUAAUUAAAAUUUUCAAUGUAAUAUGGUAUCACAAAAACAUCUCAGAUUGUAUAUAUUAUACAUUAUUAUAUUUCAAAGGAUAUCAAAAAAUUUUAAAACGUUCUGACAUAAAAUUCUAUUCUCCAGCAUUGUUUUAUUUUAAGACACAAACUGUAGACACCCAGAAUUCAGAUCAGAUGCAAGGUGUUACUCUCUCACUUCAUCGAAAAUUACAAAAGAAAUUUGAACAGAGUGACACCUUAAAAGGAAAAUAAAUGAUAGAAAAUAUAUGAUCAAACAAAGAAUGUUAAGAAAACACAAAGUUUGGACCUUUGGGAAAGUAUCACUCCAUACAUAUUGCUAUUAUAUUAUAAUGUUGUUAAAAGAAUUUUGUUUUCUUGCCAAUAAUGAAGAAAAAUUCAUUUCCAUUGGAAGGAGGCAAAAAUUUAUCUAAGUUUCACAUCAAUACAAAAACAGGAAAAGAGAAGUCAGAUCAAUGUGGGAUCUUCAUUAAUUAACCAAGUAAUACGCCU